rnacentral:rRNA from 1 species
AAAUUGAAGAGUUUGAUCAUGGCUCAGAUUGAACGCUGGCGGCAGGCCUAACACAUGCAAGUCGAACGGUAACAGGAAGCAGCUUGCUGCUUUUCUGACGAGUGGCGGACGGGUGAGUAAUGUCUGGGAAACUGCCUGAUGGAGGGGGAUAACUACUGGAAACGGUGGCUAAUACCGCAUAACGUCGCAAGACCAAAGAGGGGGACCUUCGGGCCUCUUGCCAUCAGAUGUGCCCAGAUGGGAUUAGCU